AACGGGUGAGUAACACGUGAGCAACCUGCCCCCGACUCCGGGAUAAGCCGGGGAAACCCGGUCUAAUACCGGAUAGGACGCCCUGUCGCAUGGCGGGGUGUGGAAAGGUUUCUUUCCGGUCGGGGAGGGGCUCGCGGCCUAUCAGCUUGUUGGUGGGGUGAUGGCCUACCAAGGCGAUUACGGGUAGCCGGCCUGAGAGGGCGACCGGCCACACUGGGACUGAGACACGGCCCAGACUCCUGCGGGAGGCAGCAGUGGGGAAUAUUGCGCAAUGGGCGGAAGCCUGACGCAGCGACGCCGCGUGGGGGAUGACGGCCUUCGGGUUGUAAACCUCUUUUACCACUGACGCAGGCCCGUGCUUUUGUGCGGGUUGACGGUAGGUGGGGAAUAAGGACCGGCCAACUACGUGCCAGCAGCCGCGGUAAUACGUAGGGUCCGAGCGUUGUCCGGAAUUAUUGGGCGU
rnacentral:rRNA from 1 species